UCUGCUUUGAACGCUUCUGCUACCACUGGCACGUGGAGACUGAGACUCUGUGGCUUCCCUGCCGCGCGGUCGGAAACCGCAAAUACGACCCGGACGCACCGAAAACGGAAACUCAACUACAUGGACUCUCUCAAGUGUUCCAACAACGGGAAGAGCAGCGAGGCGCUCUGAAAGCCCGUGACAGUCUUGGGCAAACGAAGGGGCUCUUCCUGCGGAAAAGCGCUUUCAGCUCACUUCUCUCACCUGGAAUGGGCCUGCCUGCUUCCCACGUACCCAGACAGAGCGCAGCAGAGACGGAUAGCAGGGAUGCUCACUGCCUCUCCGCCCAUCCAAAUUUUAUGCCAAUUUAAGCACUCUCCACUUUUUCUCUCCUUCACCUUCCUGGAGCCGCUGCAACUGCUGCAGCCGCGGACCCCACAGGGUCUCAGCCUCUCUUUCGUUAUCAUGCUUUCCCUUGACGCAUGAAUUGCCCUCCGGGUGUUAACUUUCCCACGCAUCUCAGCUCUCAGAGAGUCUCAACGGCCGAGAAUGGAGUCUCAACGGCCGAGAACGGCCAAGCAAGCCUGGCUGAUUUUCAGAAUCAGCGGAGAGAUAUUUUAAACAAGGUCGAUUUCUGGCUUAGCCCAUCAGAGAUAAUGUAGGACUUCCUCCAAAGCUAGUACCUGAGCUGACUGUGGCACCAAAUUGUGGCUGAAGGUGGGAAGCGUCUACCUUUCCCGCAGGAACUAUGGCAUCUUAAGAACUAACUUGGCAAACGGCUAUUUCAUUUUGCACGUCGUGCCCAGAGGCUGAAACUCCUUAUAAAAAGUCGGUGCAGCAUCCUGCUGUCUCUUCUCGCCCUCACCUUGGCCUUCGUGCGUCUCGGAACCAGAGCCCCAGCAGCUGGGGAAACAAACCGAUGCGAGAUUUCCCGACCACGGUGCUGGCCCAGGCGUUGGCAAAGAGUUGGGAGCAAAGAAGAGGGGAGCAAAUGGACGUGGACUUUGGAGAUGCCAGGGAUUCAACACAGGGCCUCCUGCAUGCUAAGAACGCACUCUACCACUGAGCUACACCCCCACGGCCAGCCAACACGUUCCCUCUUUUCAGAAGACGAUUUAAUGGCAGUAUGUCCCUGCCUUGCUUUUUGAGAACCUGAAACUGCUGGAGCGAAGAUCUUGGAUGCACAACUCCAUUCUUUCUGAAACUCCUUUACUGCCUUCUUUUUCACAGCGACACGAGGAUAAAGGCAACUUGAAGCUAGGCAGAAAGGCACUGUGAAUACAAUCUAUUCCCCCUGGUCAACCUGUCCCCAAAGACCCAGCUGCAAAAAAACUUGAACAAAAGAAGGCAAAGAAGAGCCCUUUCCUAGCCCUGUCUCUUGGAAGAGUCUAGAAUCCACAACAUUCAAAGAGCAAUGAGGGGAAACAGUCCUAUAGCAUAAGUCACUAGGGAGGAAAAGACAUAGCCUGUAAACUAGAACAUGCCAGGGAGGUUUUUGUUCUACAAAUAUUUGAUACGGCAGAAAGCUGACCCGUUUGUUCCUAGACAAGGCGAUUGACUGGAUUACCAUGUGAGUGAGGAAGUGGCAGCCUGAGAGGAUCCCCACCUUUCUCUCUGAGGGUGGCAGGGAUGCUUCUAGUGCCUGCCAAAGACACUGGGGACUUGCAGACUUAAGUCUGAACUGAGAGACCAGUGCCCAAACAGAUAAGUCAGACCCGUGGUGAAUGUAAGUUCUAAACCUCUCCUGCAUUGUGGCCAGAGUGAGACUCCAUAAGUUAGUUCAUUGUGAAUUCAUUCAUAGAAGAGUCUGGAGCCAUUUAGUGACCAUCAGUGUGGCCUAAAAGACUUGUGACGCGGAAGACACGAGAAAGCAUAAAACCCUAAAACAGGGCGAUUAUAGCUCUUUCUCUUGACUUAUGCCAGGGCUCCAUUCUCUGAAGAUUCAGGAAGCCCUGGGAACGGCAACUGAUUUCCCGGCACACCCUAGGAACUGAGUGCCA
ensembl:lncRNA